rnacentral:rRNA from 1 species
UGUAAAGCUCUGUCAGGAGUUAAGAAAUGUAAGUGUGCUAAUACCACAUUUAUUUGACGAAGGCUCCAAAGGAAGCCACGGCUAACUCUGUGCCAGCAGCCGCGGUAAUACAGAGGUGGCAAGCGUUGUUCGGAAUUAUUGGGCGUAAAGAGCACGUAGGUGGGUUUGUAAGUCAGAUGUGAAAGCCUUCUGUUCAACGGAAGAAUUGCAUCUGAAACUGCGAGUCUUGAGUGUAGGAGGGGAGAAUGGAACUUCUGGUGGAGCGGUGAAAUGCGUAGAUAUCAGAAGGAACGCCGGCGGCGAAAGCGAUUCUCUGGCCUAUUACUGACGCUCAGUGUGCGAAAGCUAGGGGAGCAAACGGGAUUAGAUACCCCGGUAGUCCUAGCUGUAAACGAUGGGCACUAAGUAGAGGGAAUUACCGAUGUUCUCUCUGCCGUAGCUAACGCAUUAAGUGCCCCGCCUGGGGAGUACGGCCGCAAGGCUAAAACUCAAAAGAAUUGACGGGGGCUCGCACAAGCGGUGGAGCAUGUGGCUUAAUUCGAUGCAACGCGAAGAACCUUACCGGGGCUUGACAUGUUAGAAGUAGGAACCCGAAAGGGUAACGAACGGUAUCCAGUCCGUAACUUUCACAGGUGUUGCAUGGCUGUCGUCAGCUCGUGUCGUGAGACGUUGGGUUAAGUCCCCUAACGAGCGAAACCCUUGUUUUUAGUUACCAGCGGGUUAUGCCGGGUACUCUAGAAAGACUGCCGUCGUCAAGACGGAGGAAGGUGGGGAUGACGUCAAGUCAUCAUGGCCCUUAUGCCCCGGGCUGCACACGUGCUACAAUGGUCGGUACAAAC